rnacentral:rRNA from 1 species
UACAGAGGGUGCAAGCGUUGUUCGGAAUUAUUGGGCGUAAAGCGCGUGUAGGCGGCUUUGCAAGUCGGGUGUGAAAGCCCUCGGCUCAACCGAGGAAGUGCGCCCGAAACUGCAGAGCUUGAGUACCGGAGAGGAUGGCGGAAUUCCCCAAGUAGAGGUGAAAUUCGUAGAUAUGGGGAGGAACACCGGUGGCGAAGGCGGCCAUCUGGACGGAUACUGACGCUGAGACGCGAAAGCGUGGGGAGCAAACGGG